rnacentral:rRNA from 1 species
GAUGAACGCUGGCGGCGUGCCUAAUACAUGCAAGUCGAGCGAACAGACGAGGAGCUUGCUCCUCUGACGUUAGCGGCGGACGGGUGAGUAACACGUGGAUAACCUACCUAUAAGACUGGGAUAACUUCGGGAAACCGGAGCUAAUACCGGAUAAUAUAUUGAACCGCAUGGUUCAAUAGUGAAAGACGGUUUUGCUGUCACUUAUAGAUGGAUCCGCGCCGCAUUAGCUAGUUGGUAAGGUAACGGCUUACCAAGGCAACGAUGCGUAGCCGACCUGAGAGGGUGACAGCCAACAUGGGAACUGAGACGCGGUCCAGACUCCGAGGGGGGGCAGCAGGAGGGAUUUUUCCGGAAGGGGGGAAGACCGGACGGAGCAGCCCGGCGGGAGUAAUAAGGGUCUUCGAAUCGAAAAACUCUUUUAUUGGAAAAAAAAAAAUGUGUAAGUAACUAUGCACUUCUGGACGGUACCUAAUAAGAAAGCCAGGACAAACUAGGUC